UUUGAAACAGCCUGAGAAGAAUAGGUAUUAAUUCUUCUUUAAAUGUGUGUUAUAGUUCUGUUGGGAGGCCAUAUUGCCAUUGAUUCUUGCUG